CAACAGGGAUUGCCCUAGUAACGGCGAGUGAAGCGGCAACAGCUCAAAUUUGAAAUCUGGCUCUUUCAGAGUCCGAGUUGUAAUUUGCAGAGGGCGCUUUGGCUUUGGCAGCGGUCCAAGUUCCUUGGAACAGGACGUCACAGAGGGUGAGAAUCCCGUACGUGGUCGCUAGCUAUUGCCGUGUAAAGCCCCUUCGACGAGUCGAGUUGUUUGGGAAUGCAGCUCUAAAUGGGAGGUAAAUUUCUUCUAAAGCUAAAUAUUGGCCAGAGACCGAUAGCGCACAAGUAGAGUGAUCGAAAGAUGAAAAGCACUUUGGAAAGAGAGUCAAACAGCACGUGAAAUUGUUGAAAGGGAAGCGCUUGCAGCCAGACUUGCUUGCAGUUGCUCAUCCGGGCUUUUGCCCGGUGCACUCUUCUGCAGGCAGGCCAGCAUCAGUUUGGGCGGUGGGAUAAAGGUCUCUGUCACGUACCAUCCUUCGGGAUGGCCAUAUAGGGGAGACGUCAUACCACCAGCCUGGACUGAGGUCCGCGCAUCUGCUAGGAUGCUGGCGUAAUGGCUGUAAGCGGCCCGUCUUGAAACACGGACCAAGGAGUCUAACAUCUAUGCGAGUGUUUGGGUGUCAAGCCCGAGCGCGUAAUGAAAGUGAACGGAGGUGGGAACCCGCAAGGGUGCACCAUCGACCGAUCCUGAAGUUUACGGAAGGAUUUGAGUAAGAGCAUGGCUGUUGGGACCCGAAAGAUGGUGAACUAUGCUUGAAUAGGGUGAAGCCAGAGGAAACUCUGGUGGAGGCUCGCAGCGGUUCUGACGUGCAAAUCGAUCGUCAAAUUUGGGCAUAGGGGCGAAAGACUAAUCGAACU
rnacentral:rRNA from 1 species